rnacentral:rRNA from 1 species
UGGGGAAUAUUGGACAAUGGGCGCAAGCCUGAUCCAGCAACGCCGCGUGGAGGGCGAAGGUCUUCGGAUCGUAAACUCCUGUCAGGCGGGACGAAGGCUGCAGGGCAAAUAGUCCUGUAGCUUGACGGUACUGCCAGAGGAAGCCCCGGCUAACUCUGUGCCAGCAGCCGCGGUAAUACAGAGGGGGCAAGCGUUAUUCGGAAUUAUUGGGCGUAAAGGGCGCGUAGGCGGCUUUUCAAGUGACGGGUGAAAUCCCUCGGCUUAACCGAGGAACUGCCUGUCAGACUGGAUUGCUUGAGGCCGGGAGAGGCGAGUGGAAUUCCCAGUGUAGCGGUGAAAUGCGUAGAUAUUGGGAGGAACACCAGUGGCGAAGGCGGCUCGCUGGACCGGUUCUGACGCUGAGGCGCGAAAGCGUGGGGAGCAAA